GGCGGGAUUCCCGAGCGGUCAAAGGGGUCUGACUGUAAAUCAGAUGGCUACGCCUUCCCAGGUUCGAAUCCUGGUCCCGCCA
rnacentral:tRNA from 1 species